rnacentral:misc_RNA from 1 species
GAUGAAGAACGUAGCGAAAUGCGAUAAGUAAUGUGAAUUGCAGAAUUCAGUGAAUCAUCGAAUCUUUGAACGCACAUUGCGCCCCUUGGUAUUCCGAGGGGCAUGCCUGUUCGAGCGUCAUUUCAACCCCUCAAGCUUCGGCUUGGUGUUGGGCCGCGCCGCUGCACCAGCAGCUGGCGGGCCUCAAAAUCAGUGGCGGUGCCGUCUCGGCUCUAAGCGUAGUAACAUCUCUCGCUCUGGAGACCUGGCGGUGGCUUGCCAGACAACCCCCAACUUUCUUUAAGGUUUGACCUCGGAUCAGGUAGGAAUACCCGCUGAACUUAAGCAUAUCAAUAGCGGAGGA